CGUGCAGGCGGUUUGGUAAGUUGGAUGUGAAAGCUCCCGGCUUAACUGGGAGAGGUCGUUCAAUACUACCAGACUAGAGGAUGGGAGAGGGAGGUGGAAUUCCGGGUGUAGUGGUGAAAUGCGUAGAUAUCCGGAGGAACACCAGUGGCGAAAGCGGCCUCCUGGCCCAUUUCUGACGCUCAGACGCGAAAGCUAGGGUAGCAAACGGGAUUAGAGACCCCGGUAGUCCUAGCUGUAAACGAUGUAGACUUGGCGUCGGCGGGUUUAAAUCCGUCGGUGCCGCAGCCAACGCGAUAAGUCUACCGCCUGAGGACUACGGCCGCAAGGUUAAA
rnacentral:rRNA from 1 species